UUCCAGACUCCUACGGGAGGCAGCAGUGGGGAAUAUUGGGCAAUGGGCGCAAGCCUGACCCAGCAACGCCGCGUGAAGGAAGAAGGCUUUCGGGUUGUAAACUUCUUUUCUCAGGGACGAAGCAAGUGACGGUACCUGACGAAUAAGCCACGGCUAACUACGUGCCAGCAGCCGCGGUAAUACGUAGGUGGCAAGCGUUAUCCGGAUUUACUGGGUGUAAAGGGCGUGUAGGCGGGACUGCAAGUCAGAUGUGAAAACUCAGGGCUCAACCCUGAGCCUGCAUUUGAAACUGUAGUUCUUGAGUACUGGAGAGGCAGACGGAAUUCCUAGUGUAGCGGUGAAAUGCGUAGAUAUUAGGAGGAACACCAGUGGCGAAGGCGGUCUGCUGGACAGCAACUGACGCUGAGGCGCGAAAGCGUGGGGAGCAAACAGGAUUAGAUACCCGGGUA
rnacentral:rRNA from 1 species